rnacentral:rRNA from 2 species
UCUCAAUAAGCGGAGGAAAAGAAACUAACCAGUAUUCCCCCAGUAGCGGCGAGUGAAGCGGGAAGAGCCCAGCGCCGAAUCGCCCGGCACCUUGUGCUGCUGGCGACCUGUGGCGUAAGGGCGACUCGGCGCCAGGCCGGCUCGGACACCAGUGCGCAUUGUCGUGUUGGUACGCUCACCUUCACCGGUGGGGGUGUUAGUCCUGUCGUGAGCGCAGGCCGUCUACGAUGGCUAGCGCUGUGCGGGGCCGUGCUUCUCUGGCGUCGAUCGCUCAGGAGUCGGGUUGCUUUGAAGUGCAGCCCAAAGCGGGAGGUAGACUCCUUCUAAGGCUAAAUACUGGCACGAGACCGAUAGCGGACAAGUACCGUGAGGGAAAGUUGAAACUAGCACUCUGAAGAGAGAGUGAAAGAGUUCGUGAAACCGUCCAGAGAACUCAAUCGAACGGGGCCAAUUUAGUGUGCCCAUUUGCCGUGCGCUCGCCUCGAGUCGUUCGCGAUUCGGCGGGCCGCCUUGGGCACGGCCGCGACUGGUGGCGCUCGGGUGGGGAGGGGCAUCUGCGUUGGAUUGGCGGCGCCCUGUCUCAGGGCGUAGAGGCCGACCCUUCCGCUCCUCCCUCACGCCUUGCCCUGCUGCCAGCGUGCCGGGAAGGCGACUGCGUCGCUCGCGACUGCGUCGUCGGCAUCGGCGGUAUUAAAUCGAGGUCACCCGUCCGACCCGUCUUGAAACACGGAUCAAGGAGUUUAGCAGGCGCGCGAGUCAAUGGGCCCGAAAGCCCCGAGGCGCAAGGAAACUGUACCUCCGUAGGCGAGAUCCGAGCGAAUCGCUCGGUGCAUCGCCGGCACGUAACUUGUUACGUCGCUGGAGCGCGAAUGCUGAGACCCGAAAGAUGGUGAACUAUGCUUGAGCAGGGUCAAGUCAGCGGAAACGCUGAUGGAGGCCCGAAGCGGUUCUGACGUGCAAAUCGAUCGUCGGACUUGAGUAUAGGGGCGAAAGACUAAUCGAACCAUCUAGUAGCUGGUUCCUUCCGAAGUUUCCCUCAGGAUAGCUGGUGCACGCAAUCAAGUUCUACCUGGUAGAGCGAAUGAUUAGAGGAAGUUUUUGCGUCCGGGAGACCCACGAUGGCUCUCGGCCUAUUCUCAAACUUCGAAGAGGUUGGACGGCCGCGCUAGCUUUAYUGUAGCCGGCUUUAUUGAAUUGGUGCGCUAUGUGGGCCAAUUUUGGUAAGCAGAACUGGUGCUGUGGGUUGAACCAGAAGCUCGGUUAAGGUGCCCGAUGUCGGUGCUCAUGAGAGCCCAGAAAAGGUGUCGGCUGGUAUAGACAGCAGGACGGUGGCCAUGGAAGUCGGCAUCCGCUAAGGAGUGUGUAACUACUCACCUGCCGAAUCGACCGGC